rnacentral:lncRNA from 1 species
AAAUGAUGCAGAUAUCUUCAAUAUCACACAAAAACCCUUAAUAAAUAAAAAGUUUUAAAAGUCCAUAAUAAUAUUAUUAUAAAUUUUGUGGAACAUUUCAACUCACCACAGAUUUUUCCUGGUAAAGCCUCAGACUUGGGUUGAAGAUAUAAUUGACCAUCUUCCUUAGAGCUGCUAUCAUAACUGCCAAGGAGGUCCAUGUCCUCAUUAUCUUAUUGUCCAUUUGCUUUCAGAAAUAACAUUAUACAUGUAUAAAAAAAAAAUAUCAGAUGCACUUUACAGUUUUAACAAAAUCAGUUUUUUUGAAAAUUUCCCCUCAUCAAUUGUAGUUACCCACUAUUUCUCAAACCCUCCAAAUCUAUUAUCUAUAUAUAGAGCUCUGCUUACAUAUUUUUUUUUUAUUUACAGAGCUCUAAAUAAUAGUCAUUUUAGCUAGUAUACAUCUGAUAUUUAAAGAAAAUGUGUAACAAAAGUGAAUAUUUAAAUAAAAAAAGUUAUAUUCCCUAUAAACACUUAGGAAAUUUAAAGUAUGAGGAGUAUAACAAGGGAAUUACCUCCCCUUGCCUUGAAAAUAUGACCCUGUCGAGACUCCACAUCCUUCCUAUAUUUAACAACAAUACAAAAUAUAGUAUAAUUAAAAUGAAAAAAUAAUACAGUAUGUAAAAACUACAACACAUUUCAAAAACUAAUUUAGUACUUUAACUUUUACCUAAGGGCCUUAGUGGCAGUGGUCUAAGAAGUAUUAUUGUAUCUCUAGCAUGUCAAAAUGAGGUUGAGAAUUCAAACCCAACCUGUGGUAGGUGUGUUUGACUCAAAGCUUAAUUGACUAGAAUUGACAGUUCCCUGGGGGAAAAGUUGGUGGGUAUCUACUGUUACUUUUAACUUUUUCAACCCAUAAAAAAUGGCCAUCAAGAUAUUACAAAUUGGGCUGAAAGUGGCAUUAUACACCAAAAAUCAAUCAAUCAAUCUUUUUUCACCAAUAUGUUCUACUCUGCUUCUAGUGAAAUAAUUUUAAUUUUUUAGCUAAAAGCACUGCAAAAAAAUAACAAAAAGUUGGAAAAAUAUCUAACAAUUCAGGAAACAAAAAAACACAAUACAAUUUUUUUUUUUUUUUUUUUUUUUUUUAGAUUCUCCAUUCUGAACUGACUGGAAGCCUUUGGACUAGACAGACCAUUAUUAAGUUUACAAGUAAAAUUGGUCCGUUUCAUUUCAUUUUCAAGGUAAAAAUGAAAUACAGUUACAGGGGGUGGGGAAUAACGAAUAAGAUCUAAAUUAUGAAACAGUC